CGGACCGUGGCUCAAUUGGAGGAGCGCCUGCUCUGCAAGCAGGAGGUGGGAGUUCGAUUCUCUCCGGUCCUG
rfam:Chitinophaga eiseniae strain DSM 22224 genome assembly, contig: Ga0070509_107